UAUCCAGAACUGCUGUUCUCCCCAUCC
rnacentral:piRNA from 1 species